rnacentral:rRNA from 1 species
GACGAACGCUGGCGGCGUGCUUAACACAUGCAAGUCGAACGGAAAGGCCCUGCUUUUGUGGGGUGCUCGAGUGGCGAACGGGUGAGUAACACGUGAGUAACCUGCCCUUGACUUUGGGAUAACUUCAGGAAACUGGGGCUAAUACCGGAUAGGAGCUCCUGCUGCAUGGUGGGGGUUGGAAAGUUUCGGCGGUUGUGGAUGGACUCGCAGCUUAUCAGCUUGUUGGUGGGGUAGUGGCUUACCAAGGCUUUGACGGGUAGCCGGCCUGAGAGGGUGACCGGCCACAUUGGGACUGAGAUACGCCCCAGAAUCCUACGGGAGGCAGCAGUGGGGAAUAUUGCACAAUGGGCGGAAGCCUGAUGCAGCAACGCCGCGUGCGGGAUGACGGCCUUCGGGUUGUAAACCGCUUUCGCCUGUGACGAAGCGUGAGUGACGGUAAUGGGUAAAGAAGCACCGGCUAACUACGUG